rnacentral:rRNA from 1 species
GAUGAACGCUAGCGGCAGGCCUAAUACAUGCAAGUCGAACGGUGUAGCAAUACACAGUGGCGCACGGGUGCGUAACACGUAUGCAACCUACCUAUCAUUGGGGGAUAGCCUUUGGAAACGGAGAUUAAUACCGCAUAAGACAGUAACAUGGCAUCAUGUAGCUGUUAAAGCUUUGGCCAUGAUAGAUGGGCAUGCGUCCAAUUAGUUAGUUGGUGAGGUAACGGCUCACCAAGACGAUGAUUGGUAGGGGAUCUGAGAGGAUAAUCCCCCACACUGGCACUGAGAUACGGGCCAGACUCCUACGGGAGGCAGCAGUAGGGAAUAUUGGGCAAUGGACGGAAGUCUGACCCAGCCAUGCCGCGCGCAGGAAGAAGGCGUUAUGCGUUGUAAACUGCUUUUUUAUAGGAAGAAGGAGACCUUGCGAGGUUUGGUGACGGUACUAUAAGAAUAAGCACCGGCUAACUCCGUGCCAGCAGCCGCCGUAACAC